rnacentral:rRNA from 1 species
UCGGGAAUUUUGGGCAAUGGGCGAAAGCCUGACCCAGCAACGCCGCGUGAAGGAUGAAGUAUUUCGGUAUGUAAACUUCGAAAGAAUAGGAAGAAUAAAUGACGGUACUAUUUAUAAGGUCCGGCUAACUACGUGCCAGCAGCCGCGGUAAUACAGAGGCCCCAAGCGUUAUCCGGAAUCACUGGGCGUAAAGGGUGCGUAGGUGGCAUUGUUAGUCACACGUUAAACCCUGGGGCUUAACCCCAGAUCUGCGUGUGAUACGGCAAAGCUAGAGGAUGGCAGGGAUGUAUGGAACUCAUGGAGUAGGGGUGAAAUCCGUUGAUAUCAUGGGGAACACCAAAAGCGAAGGCAGUACAUUGGGCCACUCCUGACACUGAAACNCGAAAGCGUAGGUAGCGAAUGGGAUUAGAUACCCAUGUAGUCCCUGAGCGGGCUGGCAAGGCGCAU